AACGAACGCUGGCGGCAUGCUUAACACAUGCAAGUCGAACGGAAACGCCCUGCUUGUUUGGGGUGCUCGAGUGGCGAACGGGUGAGGAACACGUGAGUAACCUGCCCUUCACUUUGGGAUAACUUCAGGAAACUGGGGCUAAUACCGUAUAGGAUCUCCUGCACCAUGGUGGGGGUGGGAAAGUUUCGGCGGUUGGGGAUGGACUCGCGGCUUAUCAGCUUGUUGGUGGGGUAGUGGCUUACCAAGGCUUUGACGGGUAGCCGGCCUGAGAGGGUGACCGGCCACAUUGGGACUGAGAUACGGCCCAGACUCCUACGGGAGGCAGCAGUGGGGAAUAUUGCACAAUGGGCGGAAGCCUGAUGCAGCAACGCCGCGUGCGGGAUGACGGCCUUCGGGUUGUAAACCGCUUUCGCCUGUGACGAAGCGUGAGUGACGGUAAUGGGUAAAGAAGCACCGGCUAACUACGUG
rnacentral:rRNA from 1 species